rnacentral:misc_RNA from 1 species
GAUGAAGAACGUAGCGAAAUGCGAUAAGUAAUGUGAAUUGCAGAAUUCAGUGAAUCGUCGAAUCUUUGAACGCACAUUGCGCCCCCUGGUAUUCCGGGGGGCAUGCCUGUCCGAGCGUCAUUACAACCCUCAAGCUCAGCUUGGUGUUGGGCCCCGCCGCCCCGGCGGGCCCUAAAGUCAGUGGCGGUGCCGUCCGGCUCCGAGCGUAGUAAUUCUUCUCGCUCUGGAGGUCCGGUCGUGUGCUCGCCAGCAACCCCCAAUUUUUUUCAGGUUGACCUCGGAUCAGGUAGGGAUACCCGCUGAACUUAAGCAUAUCAAUAAGCGGAGGA